UAUCACCACUAGGGGUGCUUCAUAGAAGCUGAGAGAAGAAAUUUUAUUCUUUAACCCUUUGAACCUGAUUUGGCCAGUACCAACGUAGGGAAGUGAAUGAAGCUUUUU
rnacentral:ncRNA from 2 species